CAUCUGGGAAUACCCGUUUUGAAGUGUACCAGUAAGCUUUUCCUGCAUAACAGACUAUUCCAAAAUUUGAUGGUUGACAACAACCACUCAUUUAACUUAUCUUUCUGCAGGUCAGCAGUUUGCUGUGGGCUCAGGUAGCAGUUCCUCUGUUCUUGGAUCUGUGGUCAGCUGCAGGUUUGGCUGGGCACUGGUGGCAGCCUGGCUUUAGCAGGAUGGCUCAUCUCUGCUCCACAGAGUCUCUCAUCUUCCAGGAGGCAGGCCUGGACUUGUUUCCAUGGUGAUGCAGUAAGGUUCUAAGGAAGCAAGCAGAGUGGAGGUUUGGAAGGAAAAGCUUCAGACUCUGCAGACAUCCAGUGGCCCAGUUUGGAAGAUGGAUUAUAUAUAUUCACCCUCCUUAGAAGGCCAAGGAGGAGAAAACAUCAAGGAGAAGGAGACGUAGAUGUGAAAUACUGCCAAGAGGACGAAGAAGGUUAAGUUUGGAAAGUGGGUUCCGUUGGGAUUGGAUUUGGCAAACUGAUGACCUUGGUUGGAGAAAGGCUUCUGAGAAAAAAGACGGGAAACAGACUGGAUCACGCUGAAUCUAGAUAAGAAAUAAGUAAAGAUAACAAAUUGCACAAGUCUUUCCAGAAGCUUGGCUGGGAAGGAAAGAAAAAGAGGGGCAGCUACAUGGAAUGGAAGAGGGCACACCCUCCCUGCCGUUCUCCUCAGGAGAGGGUUGGAGCAUGGCAGACCCAGUAGGGACGACUCCAAUAGAGAGAUUCCCUCCAAUAGAGGGAAUCAAGGGCCGAGGUUUCUGGGGAGCCAGAAAGUACGAGGGUCCAGAUAAAGGGGAAAAAGCCUUGAAGAAAUAAAGGAGGAGACUUAAGAAAUAGUGGGAAAAAUCCCAAGGAGGUGGGUUUCUGGGCACGGAACUGAUGAAGGGGCUGGCAUUACGUUACAGACUUGUUUGACCACAGCAGACCAUGGUCGGUGAUGCAUUGGUCUUCCCUUGGCCGUAGACUCUUUACCCACCCCACCCCCGAAUGCACAUACCUGCACACGCGUGAUUUCUUCACACAGGUCAGGAGGCUCACAGCAAGCUGCUACCCACAGAGGAGUCCAGACCACAGUGAGCAUUUCAGCAAGCAUGCCUUCUCAUCAGGGACUCACUGCCCUGACCCCUCUCCAACCUACAUUCCCAACCACCCACUGGACACCUCCCCUGGCGGUCCCACAGCCAUCUCGGGAACAGGGUUUCAUUCACUUAUUAAAUUCUGUCUUGCAACCUGUAUUGUGGGCCAGGAACCACUUGUGCUGGGCUCAGAGGAGACAACAGACACCAAGCAGACAUGGUCCCGCCCUUACUGGGGAGAUAGAGAUGAGUCAAAUAAACAACAAGUUGGGACGUCCCUGGUGAUCCAGAGGUUAGGACUCAGCACUUCCCCUGCAGGGGACACAAGUUCAGUCCCUGGUCAGGAAACUAAGAUCCUGCAAGCCGUGUGAGUGCAGCCAAAAGGAAAACAAAACGAAAAGCCAUAAGUAAUCAACAACUUGUCACAGCACAGUGUGAGGACACCCACCCACUGUGCCACCUUCCAACCUGAAUACCAGCAGCAGCAUCCUGGGGCCUCCUAGCUCCCCUGCCUCCUGUAUGCCCACUCGUCCAUGUGAUUCUCCGGGCUAGUGCGUCACCUCCUUUUCUUUCUCCAUGACCUCUGCCUGGACUCCUAGCCUGUCACCUCCAAUCUCCACCCAAAACCCUCCUCCGCAUGGCUGCCCAAGUUUUCUCUUCUACAUUAACAAGUACGAUCACAAUAUUCUCGAGAUAAAGAACUUCUUUACAGGAACCUCAAAGACAAAUAGUAGAAAGUCACUGGAGGGACUUCCCUGGUGGUUCAAUGGUGAAGACUUGACCUUUCGGUGCUGGGGUGCAGGUUCCAUCCCUGGUGGGGGAGCUAAAAUCUUACAUGCCUCCUGGGCAAAAAACCAAAACACAAAACAGAAUCAAUAUUGUAACAAAUUUAAUAAAGACUUUAAAAAUGGUCCACAUUAAAAAAAAGAUACAUAAAAAAGAAAGCCACUGGAGAUAAGACUGUUAGCCCAUAAGAGAAUAAGAUUUGGAUACAGACACAUAAACACACAUACACAGCAUGUAAAAGAACUAAAUAAUAUAAAUAAUGAGGUACAACUAAUGUAUAUGCAGUUUUUUCCCCCUCUAAAGAUAGAUAAUACAAGAGCCAAAAAUUAACCAAAUUUUAGGAAAUAAUGAAAACCUUAAUGGAUUUCAAAAAGCUGAGUACAAACAAUCUUCUGAUUAUAAUAUUACAAUAAAAUGCAAAUUUAAUAACCACCAGAAGAUAAAAAGUUACAACCACCUAGAAAUAUACUUCUAAAAUUAAUCUUAAACAAUUUGAGUUAAAGAGGAAAUACAAACUGAGAAAGAAGAUUAUCUAGAAAAUAACAGUAAACUCUUUGGAAACAUCAAAAACGAAGGCACAAGACCUGCAUCCGUGCUCUUUUUCCCCACCCUCUGUAACGCCCUCUGUAGUUUGCACCCGUGACCCCAGUCCCGCUUUCUCUGUUCUCUCCCGUUGCCUUGGCUCCUGCACUGAAUUUCUCAACAGCUCUGGAAGCUGUCACCUUCUGUCACCCCUCCACACCUUUAUGCCAUUGGCCUGGGAUGUCCUUUCCCUUCUUACCUACCUAGCAAACUCCUGUUUACUCAUGAAUACUCAGAGUUGUGGUCCCUUCCUUUGUGAUGCCUCACAGAAUCGUCCACCCCUUCCCCAUGUGCCCAGAGGUCUUGGCACCGUCCUCUGGAGAAGACGGUGAGUAGAAAGAGAGCCUGGGUCAGGUCUCAGCCACUCCCCAGGCUAACAGUUUCAACACCAUGUCACUAACACCCAACUCCUUUGUCCCUGUCACCUUCCACUCUCUUGGCAGCUGGCUGCAUUUCUAGGGGCUCUUUGCUGUAGGUCAGUUAAUGUUGCUGGAUAAGACAAAACAAAAACAAGAAAUUGUGUUAAUUCUGCACACUAACAAACUCACCAGUCCUUAGCUGACACCCUCCCCUUUAGUCUGGCUCACACAUAGUCUCCUCUUGGGUCCUUCACACAGUGCUUCCUGGAAUCUGUCCCAAAGAUAGCACGUGUCCUUUGAGAUAUGAAUGGGGGUUUUGUGGGGAUUUGGGGGUUUUGUUUUGAAGGAAGUUAAGAAAGGAAAGGGUUCCCCAAUACAUUUGGGAAGUGCCAGAAGUAAACAAAAAGUUAUAUCAAUCACCAUGAUGUACACUUCAAAUAUCUUAGAAUUCUGUGCGUCUAUUAAUGCCUCAAUAAAGCUGAUAUUUCCAAAAAGA